rnacentral:rRNA from 1 species
AUUGAACGCUGGCGGAAUGCUUUACACAUGCAAGUCGAACGGCAGCACGGACUUCGGUCUGGUGGCGAGUGGCGAACGGGUGAGUAAUGUAUCGGAACGUGCCCAGUCGUGGGGGAUAACGUAGUGAAAAUUACGCUAAUACCGCAUACGAUCUAUGGAUGAAAGCGGGGGAUCGCAAGACCUCGCGCGAUUGGAGCGGCCGAUAUCAGAUUAGGUAGUUGGUGGGGUAAAGGCCCACCAAGCCAACGAUCUGUAGCUGGUCUGAGAGGACGACCAGCCACACUGGAACUGAGACACGGUCCAGACUCCUACGGGAGGCAGCAGUGGGGAAGUUUGGACAAUGGGCGAAAGCCUGAUCCAGCCAUUCUGCGUGCAGGAUGAAGGCCCUCGGGUUGUAAACUGCUUUUGUACAGAACGAAAAGGUUUCUACUAAUACUAGGAGCUCAUGACGGUACUGUAAGAAUAAGCACCGGCUAACUACGUGCCAGCCGCCGCAGUAA